AGCUCCAAUAGCGUAUAUUAAAGUUGUUGCGGUUAAAAAGCUCGUAGUUGGAUUUCUGCUGAAGCAAACCGGUCCGCCCUCUGGGUGAGCAUCUGGUUUUGUUUUGGCAUAUGCUUAGACUUUGCAGCUGCACUUGACUGUGUGGUGUGAAGGCUGAGCCUUUUACUUUGAGGAAAUCAGAGUGUUUCAAGCAGGCCAUUGCCUUGAAUACACUAGCAUGGAAUAAUAUGAUAUGACUGUGGUUUUAUUUUGUUGGCUUUUAGAAUUAGAGUAAUGGUUAAUAGGGAUAGUUGGGGGCAUUCAUAUUUAACUGUCAGAGGUGAAAUUCUUGGAUUUGUUAAGGAUGAACGACUGCGAAAGCAUUUGCCAAGGAUGCUUUCAUUG
rnacentral:rRNA from 2 species